AAAAAAAAAAGCACCCUAAUUGAACUAAUUGAACUACAGAACCAACAAAAAGUCAUACCAUCUCAUCUCAUCUUAUCCAUCCUCACAUCCAUCCACCCAUCCAAUCAUCCGUCCAUCUACCCAUUCACCCAUCCACCCUUCCAUCUAUCCAUCCAUCCAUUUGUCCAUCAAUCCAUGUAUUCAUCCAUCUAUCCUCCCAUGCAUCCAUCCAUCCAUGCAUUCAUCCAUGUAUUCAUCCAUCUAUCCUCCCAUGCAUCCAUCCAUCCAUCCAUGCAUUCAUCCAUCCAUUCUCC
rnacentral:lncRNA from 10 species